UAUUUUAAAAUCGGACAUAUCGAGUGCAUAGAGGAGGACUCUCACUUCCCUAUUUAUCUAUACAAGGACACAGGAGACAGCUGGUUUGCAACACAGGAUUAUACUCCCCAAAACAGGACAUUAUAACAGGACCGUUUCACAAGGACUCUCACUUCCCUGUUUAUCUAUACAAGGACACAGGAGUCAGCUGGUUUGCAACACAGGAUUAUACUCCCCAAAACAGGACAUUAUAACAGGACAGUUUCACAAGGUUAGUCACAUACUCAGUUAUGUGGACACAUACAAUUAACAUGUUCCAUUGAAGU